AUGGAAGCUCUUUGUUUCUUCCAGUUGGUGUUUAUGACACUCCUUCUGGAGUCCUGGGCCUGGUUCUGGGCUCCCCAGAACAGGAGAACUGCUGCUGUGGGAGAGCUCUUGAGCCCUCCCACACUACCUUGUGGGUGUCAUAGGGAACACCCAGCCUCUCAGAGGUACACAACAAAAGUGUGCCUCACUGAUGCCAGAGGUUGGCAUGGGACUGUGUGCUGCAGCUGCUGCCAUUUUGUGUGGGCUGUGUGGUGCGAGAGGCUCAACUGCCUUGUCCCCUUGUGUCUAUGCUUCUUUUCCAUUACGUCUGCAGAAAGAAAAACUGACAAGUGGAAAUCAUCACCAGUUAAGAUGGGAAGAAUGGAGAGAACAGGCAAGGGAAAGGUGAAAUUGCCAAGAGUCUUCCAGGUGACCUACGGAAGUCUGGCUCUGUGCCUUUCUGCUGCUUAUGGACCACCCAGGCCAGCUGGCAAGAAGCAGAUAUGUAGUUUCUGA
rnacentral:lncRNA from 1 species